CCUACAGGAGGCAGCAGUGGGGAAUAUUGGGCAAUGGAGGCAACUCUGACCCAGCAACGCCGCGUGAAUGAUGAAGGUCUUCGGAUUGUAAAGUUCUUUUCUAAGGGAAGAAGAAAGUGACGGUACCUUAGGAAUAAGCCUCGGCUAACUACGUGCCAGCAGCCGCGGUAAUACGUAGGAGGCAAGCGUUAUCCGGAAUGACUGGGCGUAAAGGGUGCGUAGGUGGAUUGACAAGUUAGUAGCGCAACUCCGGAGCUCAACUUCGGAACUACUACUAAAACUGUUGGACUUGAGUGCAGGAGGGGCAAUCGGAAUUCCUGGUGUAGCGGUGGAAUGCGUAGAUAUUAGGAGGAACACCAGUGGCGAAGGCGGAUUGCUGGACUGUAACUGACGUUGAGGCUCGAAAGCGUGGGGAGCAAACAGGAUUAGAUACCCUAGUAGUC
rnacentral:rRNA from 1 species